UGAGUAGAGCACAUGUAUAAUGCUUGAAUAACUAGUCAAUAAAAUUAUUCGCACCUAAUUGUAUAAUAUAAAUGUAUUUAAUCGAAUAGUUAAAUUGAUAAAUUAUUAAAUAAGCUCUAUCUGUUUGAAUUAAGCUCAAGAGCUUAGAGGACCAAAGUUGGAUAAGGGGAAGGAAAAAGUGAUCGAAUAGCCAUCGAAACCGUUCGACAAC
rnacentral:lncRNA from 1 species